rnacentral:rRNA from 1 species
GUGCUCUGACUGCUUAUUGCACCACAUGUGUUUUUCUUUGAAACAAACUUGCUUUGGCGGUGGGCCCAGCCUGCCGCCAGAGGUCUAAACUUACAACCAAUUUUUUAUCAACUUGUCACACCAGAUUAUUACUAAUAGUCAAAACUUUCAACAACGGAUCUCUUGGUUCUCGCAUCGAUGAAGAACGCAGCGAAAUGCGAUACGUAAUAUGAAUUGCAGAUAUUCGUGAAUCAUCGAAUCUUUGAACGCACAUUGCGCCCUCUGGUAUUCCGGAGGGCAUGCCUGUUUGAGCGUCGUUUCUCCCUCAAACCGCUGGGUUUGGUGUUGAGCAAUACGACUUGGGUUUGCUUGAAAGACGGUAGUGGUAAGGCGGGAUCGCUUUGACAAUGGCUUAGGUCUAACCAAAAACAUUGCUUGCGGCGGUAACGUCUACCACGUAUAUCUUCAAACUUUGACCUCAAAUCAGGUAGGACUACCCGCUGAACUUAAGCAUAUCAAAAGCCGGGAGGAA